AGCUUUGCACAGUGGCAGUAUCGUAGCCAAUGAGGUUUACCCGAGGCGCGAUUAUUGCUAAUUGAAAUUCUUUUUAGCAUCUUGGCUAUAAAUGGUUGAAUAUUGAUGGAUAAUUUAACCCAAGACUAGG
rfam:Tupaia chinensis contig30663, whole genome shotgun sequence.